ensembl:snoRNA predicted gene, 23547
CUGGCUGAUGAGGCCAAGGCGAAUGCGACUCUGUGCCCUGCGCCCCUCAGCUCCUAGUGUGGGGUGGGGGGCGAUCGGAAAUCUCGGGGGGGGUCCUGAGGCGUGGGCACCCCCCACACACACCCUAAGGCCCGAUCCACAGCAGCCCGGGCCUCCCCCGCCUCCCCGCUGUCACCCCAGAUGCUGGCAGCGGCCUGCGGGGAGGCCCACAGAGGGAGGCUGAGACGGGGCGGGCACAGGCCGUGAGCGCACGCGUGGAUCUGACA